UAGAGUUUGAUCCUGGCUCAGAUUGAACGCUGGCGGCAGGCCUAACACAUGCAAGUCGAACGGUAACAUUUCUAGCUUGCUAGAAGAUGACGAGUGGCGGACGGGUGAGUAAUGCUUGGGAACUUGCCUUUGCGAGGGGGAUAACAGUUGGAAACGACUGCUAAUACCGCAUAAUGUCUUCGGACCAAACGGGGCUUAGGCUCCGGCGCAAAGAGAGGCCCAAGUGAGAUUAGCUAGUUGGUAAGGUAACGGCUUACCAAGGCGACGAUCUCUAGCUGUUCUGAGAGGAAGAUCAGCCACACUGGGACUGAGACACGGUCCAGACUCCUACGGGAGGCAGCAGUGGGGAAUAUUGCACAAUGGGGGAAACCCUGAUGCAGCCAUGCCGCGUGUGUGAAGAAGGCCUUCGGGUUGUAAAGCACUUUUCAGUUGUGAGGAAAAGUUAGUAGCUAAUACCUGCUAGCCGUGAC
rnacentral:rRNA from 1 species